AUGGCGCUCUCCUCCUACUUGCUCGCCGGCAGCCGAGCAGCCUCCCCUUCCCUCCCCUCCCUCCCCUCACUCCGCCGCCGCGGCUGCCACCGUCCGCCGCCCCUUGCCACAACCCCGCCCCUUGCCACAACCCCGCCCCCACUCCCUUCCACCCAGCGAUGGCGCCGCUCGCUCCGCUUCUGCGCCUCCUCCCCCUCCUCGUCGCCCCCGCCGCCCGUGCCGCCCGAGGACGAGGAGCCCGUGGACUACGAGCUGUCGGAGAGUAGUGGAAAUUGUGACCCUUUAUGCUCCGUUGAUGAAGUUAGCUCACAGUAUUUUGAAGCUAACUACAAGCCAAAGAAUGAUCUUGUUAAAGCUUUAACUAUCCUUGCAACGGCUUUGGCUGGGGCAGCUGCAAUAAACCAUUCCUGGGUCGCUGCUAACCAGGACAUUGCAAUGGUGCUAGUAUUUGCUCUUGGGUACGCAGGUAUCAUUUUUGAGGAAUCACUGGCAUUUAACAAAAGUGGAGUUGGAUUACUGAUGGCUGUUUGUCUAUGGGUUAUCAGAAGUAUCGGGGCUCCCUCGACCGAUGUAGCUGUUCAAGAGUUGAGUCGGAGUACUGCUGAAGUUAGUGAAAUAGUGUUUUUCUUGCUUGGUGCAAUGACCAUUGUGGAGAUUGUUGAUUCACAUCAAGGUUUUAAGCUGGUGACUGACAAUAUAUCUACUAGAAAUCCUAAAACACUUCUCUGGGUGAUUGGCUUUGUAACCUUCUUUUUGAGUUCUGUCUUGGACAACUUGACUUCGACUAUUGUGAUGGUGUCCUUGCUCCGGAAACUAGUACCUCCAUCAGAGUACAGAAAGUUGCUAGGUGCUGUUGUUGUAAUUGCGGCUAAUGCUGGGGGUGCAUGGACACCAAUUGGUGAUGUGACAACCACUAUGUUGUGGAUUCACGGUCAGAUUACGACUUUAAAAAUAAUGCAGGGCUUGUUUGUCCCUUCCGUAGUUUCAUUGAUGGUCCCACUGGCCCUGAUGUCCCUCACCAGUGAAGCAAAUGGAUCGUCUCAGGAAUCUUCAAGUUUGCUGUCAUCAGAGCAAAUGGCUCCUCGAGGACAACUUGUAUUUGCUGUUGGACUUGGAGCCCUAGUGUUUGUUCCAGUGUUUAAAUCUCUCACUGGAUUGCCACCUUUCAUGGGGAUGCUCCUUGGUCUUGGCAUUCUCUGGAUUCUGACAGAUGCGAUACAUUAUGGAGAAUCUGGAAGGCAGAGAUUGAAAGUUCCACAAGCGCUUUCACGGAUUGAUACACAAGGAAUUCUAUUCUUCUUAGGUAUACUGUUGUCGGUUGGCAGCUUGGAAGCAGCAGGGAUUUUGAGGCAGUUGGCGAACUAUCUUGAUGCCAAUAUUCCAAACGCUGACCUCAUUGCAAGUAUCAUUGGUGUAGCAUCAGCAAUUAUAGACAAUGUUCCACUUGUUGCUGCAACCAUGGGGAUGUAUGACCUGACUUCAUUUCCUCAAGAUUCAGAUUUCUGGCAGCUUGUUGCGUUCUGUGCUGGUACGGGUGGUUCGAUGCUUAUCAUCGGCUCUGCAGCAGGAGUGGCUUUUAUGGGAAUGGAAAAGGUGGAUUUCUUUUGGUACCUUCGCAAGGUGAGUGGUUUCGCCCUUGCAGGUUAUGUAGCUGGCAUCAUCACUUACCUAGCUGGUCAGAACAUCCAUCUAUCUCUUCCCACUUCACUGGCGGAGAUCCCGUUUAUCACGGGUUCGUAA
rnacentral:rRNA from 1 species